UACGUAGGGUGCGAGCGUUAAUCGGAAUUACUGGGCGUAAAGCGUGCGUAGACGGUUACGUAAGUCGGGUGUGAAAGCCCCGGGCUCAACCCGGGAAUUGCAUUCGAGACUGCGUAGCUAGGGUGCGGAAGAGGGAAGCGGAAUUUCCGGUGUAGCGGUGAAAUGCGUAGAUAUCGGAAGGAACAUCAGUGGCGAAAGCGGCUUCCUGGUCCAGCACCGACGUUCAGGCACGAAAGCGUGGGGAGCAAACAGG
rnacentral:rRNA from 1 species